rnacentral:lncRNA from 1 species
AUAUGAAUAGGCUUCUUGAGCCUUGUGAAGAGUGAAUCCCAGGUGGGGUAAUUCUCACCACUGAGGAGAAAGAAUUUUUUGAAGAGGGCUGCAGAUCCGGUUGGAUAUGAAUACAGAUAUCACUCAAAGUCUGAAUGCAAUGAAUUCUAUUUCAAAGCAACAACUUUCAUAUUUCCUUAAAGAGGAAGUAUCUUUUUUUUUCCUUUUCUUAGAACCAUAUCUGGUGUGACAACAAUUUGAAAAGCGCCACCCAUCCUCUCUGAGACCACAAACAGCGCUGAAGGCAGUGAACCAAGACUUACAAACAAGGGUGUAGACCAAGGAAAAUGCUGGGGGCCAGAGGAGGAGAAAGCAAGAAGAUAGAAACACCAUAGUUUCAAGAGGGAGGGGAGCAGAAAGCCGCCAGCUCUCCAAAAAACAAGAAGCAAAACCCAGAACUCAAACCUCAUGAAAGUAUCACGAGGUUGAAGCCUUUAAAAGGUGUUUUUACAGCAGAUUUUAGAGACUUCUCACCUUACCAACGGUUAUAAACCCGUAUCCUUGCAAAUUCAGCAGUAGAGUCAUUAGAUUGCCCUCUCAGCCUCUGCACGUGAAGGGUCUCAGGGCUUUUCAGGACAUCUUUAGGGUCAGGUUUCGUGAAAUAGGUAGGUUGGGCCAGCUUUCUGGGGACUCUAAGCAACCUUGGAGAAAAUGGGCAGGAGUAAAUAAAGGUAUGCCAGCUUGCUUUUUCCAGUGGGGACUUGGCAAAUGCCAAA